AGAGAGACACCGAGAAUGUUCCUAGAGGGUCUGCGCAGCUAGAGAGAGCUCACCAAGAGAAGUUGGCGCAAAGUAGCUAGCCAGAGCCUGGGGACUGUGUUAGGAUGAAAGUCCUGGACAGACUUAUCACAGAGAGAGAAGAAACGCAAUCACUAUGCAGCCACAGAAUGUCCAGGGGCUCAGCAAAGUCAGUGAGGAACCUUCAACAUCGAGUGACGAGAGGGCCUCAUUGAUCAAGAAAGAGAUCCAUGGGUCCCUGCCACACGUGGCAGAGCCCUCUGUGCCGUACCGCGGGACGGUGUUUGCCAUGGACCCCAGGAAUGGUUACAUGGAGCCCCACUACCACCCUCCUCAUCUUUUCCCUGCCUUCCAUCCUCCUGUACCAAUUGAUGCCAGACAUCAUGAGGGCCGUUACCAUUACGAUCCGUCUCCGAUUCCUCCAUUGCAUAUGACUUCCGCCUUAUCUAGUAGCCCUACGUAUCCGGACCUGCCCUUCAUUAGGAUCUCCCCACACCGGAACCCCGCUGCUGCUUCCGAGUCUCCCUUCAGCCCUCCACAUCCCUACAUUAAUCCCUACAUGGACUAUAUCCGCUCCUUGCACAGCAGCCCAUCGCUCUCCAUGAUCUCAGCAACCCGUGGGCUGAGCCCUACAGAUGCGCCCCAUGCAGGAGUCAGCCCAGCAGAAUACUAUCAUCAGAUGGCCCUGCUAACUGGCCAGCGCAGCCCCUAUGCAGACAUUAUUCCCUCGGCUGCCACCGCCGGCACGGGGGCCAUCCACAUGGAAUAUCUUCAUGCUAUGGAUAGCACCAGAUUCCCCAGCCCCAGGCUGUCAGCCAGGCCGAGCCGAAAACGUACACUGUCCAUAUCACCACUGUCCGAUCAUAGCUUUGACCUUCAGACCAUGAUAAGGACGUCUCCCAACUCCUUGGUCACGAUUCUCAAUAAUUCCCGUAGCAGCUCUUCAGCAAGUGGCUCCUAUGGUCACUUAUCUGCAAGUGCAAUCAGCCCUGCCUUGAGCUUCACCUACUCUUCCGCGCCCGUCUCUCUCCACAUGCAUCAGCAGAUCCUAAGCCGACAACAGAGCUUAGGUUCAGCCUUUGGACACAGCCCUCCACUCAUCCACCCUGCCCCAACUUUUCCAACACAGAGGCCUAUUCCAGGGAUCCCUACGGUUCUGAACCCCGUCCAGGUCAGCUCCGGCCCUUCUGAGUCCUCACAGAACAAGCCCACGAGUGAGUCUGCAGUGAGUAGCACUGGUGACCCGAUGCACAACAAGAGGUCCAAGAUCAAACCCGAUGAAGACCUCCCCAGCCCAGGGGCUCGGGGGCAGCAGGAACAGCCCGAAGGAACAACCCUUGUCAAGGAGGAAGGGGACAAAGAUGAAAGCAAACAGGAGCCUGAAGUCAUCUAUGAGACAAACUGUCACUGGGAAGGCUGCGCGAGGGAGUUCGACACCCAAGAGCAGCUUGUGCACCAUAUAAAUAAUGACCAUAUUCAUGGAGAGAAGAAGGAGUUCGUGUGCAGGUGGCUGGACUGCUCAAGAGAGCAGAAACCCUUCAAAGCCCAGUAUAUGUUGGUAGUGCAUAUGAGAAGACACACGGGCGAGAAGCCUCACAAAUGCACUUUUGAAGGUUGCACAAAGGCCUACUCGAGACUAGAAAACUUGAAAACACACUUGAGAUCUCACACUGGAGAGAAACCAUACGUCUGUGAGCACGAAGGUUGCAACAAGGCUUUCUCAAACGCCUCUGAUCGCGCCAAACACCAAAACAGAACGCAUUCCAAUGAGAAACCAUAUGUGUGCAAAAUCCCAGGCUGCACUAAGCGUUACACAGACCCAAGCUCCCUCCGGAAACAUGUGAAGACAGUGCAUGGCCCAGAGGCUCAUGUCACCAAGAAGCAGCGAGGGGACAUCCAUCCUCGGCCACCACCCCCGAGAGAUUCCGGCAGCCAUUCACAGUCCAGGUCGCCCGGCCGACCGACUCAGGGAGCCCUUGGUGAGCAGCAGGACCUCAGCAACACUACCUCAAAGCGGGAAGAAUGCCUCCAGGUGAAAACCGUCAAGGCAGAGAAGCCAAUGACAUCUCAGCCAAGCCCUGGUGGUCAGUCUUCAUGCAGCAGCCAACAGUCCCCCAUCAGCAACUAUUCCAACAGUGGGCUCGAGCUUCCUCUGACCGAUGGAGGUAGUAUAGGAGACCUCAGUGCCAUCGAUGAAACCCCAAUCAUGGACUCAACCAUUUCCACUGCAACCACAGCCCUUGCUUUGCAAGCCAGGAGAAACCCGGCAGGGACCAAAUGGAUGGAGCACGUAAAACUAGAAAGGCUAAAACAAGUGAAUGGAAUGUUUCCGCGACUGAACCCCAUUCUACCCCCUAAAGCCCCUGCGGUCUCUCCUCUCAUAGGAAAUGGCACACAGUCCAACAACACCUGCAGCUUGGGUGGGCCCAUGACGCUUCUCCCGGGCAGAAGCGACCUCUCUGGGGUGGACGUCACUAUGCUGAACAUGCUCAACAGAAGGGACAGCAGCGCCAGCACCAUCAGCUCGGCCUACCUGAGCAGCCGCCGCUCCUCAGGGAUCUCGCCCUGCUUCUCCAGCCGCCGCUCCAGCGAGGCGUCACAGGCCGAGGGCCGGCCGCAGAACGUGAGCGUGGCCGACUCCUACGACCCCAUCUCCACCGACGCCUCGCGCCGCUCCAGCGAAGCCAGCCAGAGCGACGGCCUGCCCAGCCUGCUCAGCCUCACGCCCGCCCAGCAGUACCGCCUCAAGGCCAAGUACGCGGCUGCCACAGGAGGGCCGCCGCCCACGCCCCUGCCCAACAUGGAGAGGAUGAGCCUGAAGACGCGCCUGGCGCUGCUCGGGGAUGCCCUCGAGCCUGGCGUGGCCCUGCCUCCAGUUCAUGCCCCGAGGAGGUGCAGCGACGGGGGAGCCCACGGCUACGGGCGGCGCCACCUGCAGCCGCACGAUGCGCCGGGCCACGGCGUGAGGAGGGCCAGCGACCCCGUGCGGACAGGCUCCGAGGGCCUGGCCCUGCCUCGUGUGCCGCGCUUCAGCAGCCUCAGCAGCUGCAACCCCCCGGCGAUGGCCACGUCCGCGGAGAAGCGCAGUCUCGUGCUUCAGAAUUACACGCGGCCCGAGGGCGGCCAGUCCCGAAACUUCCACUCGUCCCCCUGUCCUCCCAGCAUCACCGAGAACGUCACCCUGGAGUCCCUGACCAUGGACGCUGAUGCCAACCUGAACGAUGAGGAUUUCCUGCCGGACGACGUGGUGCAGUAUUUAAAUUCCCAGAACCAAGCAGGGUACGAGCAGCACUUCCCCAGCGCCCUCCCGGACGACAGCAAAGUGCCCCACGGGCCCGGUGACUUUGACGCGCCCGGGCUGCCAGACAGCCACGCUGGCCAGCAGUUCCAUGCCCUCGAGCAGCCCUGCCCCGAGGGCAGCAAAACCGACCUGCCCAUUCAGUGGAACGAAGUCAGCUCCGGAAGCGCCGACCUGUCCUCCUCCAAGCUCAAGUGUGGGCCGCGGCCCGCUGUGCCGCAGACUCGCGCCUUUGGGUUCUGCAACGGCAUGGUCGUCCACCCGCAGAACCCCUUGAGGAGCGGGCCUGCUGGGGGCUAUCAGACCCUCGGGGAGAACAGCAACCCCUACGGUGGCCCAGAGCACUUGAUGCUCCACAACAGCCCCGGAAGUGGCACCAGUGGAAACGCCUUCCAUGAACAGCCCUGUAAGGCCCCGCAGUAUGGGAACUGUCUCAACAGGCAGCCAGUGGCCCCUGGUGCACUCGACGGUGCCUGUGGUGCCGGGAUUCAAGCCUCAAAGCUGAAGAGCACCCCCAUGCAAGGGAGCGGGGGCCAGCUGAAUUUCGGCCUGCCGGUAGCGCCAAAUGAGUCAGCUGGCAGCAUGGUGAAUGGCAUGCAGAACCAGGACCCAGUGGGACAGGGGUACCUGGCUCACCAGCUCCUCGGCGACAGCAUGCAGCACCCGGGGGCAGGCCGCCCCGGUCAGCAGAUGCUUGGGCAGAUUAGUGCUACCUCACACAUCAACAUCUAUCAAGGGCCAGAGAGCUGCCUGCCAGGGGCUCACGGCAUGGGCAGCCAGCCGUCAAGCUUGGCAGUUGUCAGGGGCUACCAGCCAUGUGCCAGCUUUGGGGGCAGCAGGCGCCAGGCUAUGCCGAGGGACAGCCUUGCUCUGCAGUCAGGACAGCUCAGUGACACAAGUCAGACCUGCAGGGUGAAUGGCAUCAAGAUGGAGAUGAAAGGGCAGCCCCAUCCGCUGUGCUCUAAUCUGCAGAAUUACUCUGGUCAGUUCUAUGACCAAACCGUGGGCUUCAGUCAGCAAGACACGAAAGCUGGUUCAUUCUCUAUUUCAGACGCCAGCUGCCUGCUACAGGGGACCAGCGCCAAAAACUCUGAGUUACUUUCCCCAGGUGCUAAUCAGGUGACAAGCACAGUGGACAGCCUCGACAGCCAUGACCUGGAAGGGGUACAGAUUGACUUCGAUGCCAUCAUAGACGAUGGGGACCACUCCAGCCUGAUGUCGGGGGCCCUGAGCCCAAGUAUCAUUCAGAACCUUUCCUAUAGCUCCUCCCGCCUCACCACGCCUCGGGCGUCCCUCCCAUUCCCAGCGCUGUCCAUGAGCACCACCAACAUGGCUAUCGGGGACAUGAGUUCUUUGCUGACCUCCCUAGCGGAAGAAAGCAAAUUCCUUGCAGUUAUGCAAUAGGCUUUAGGAAAAAAAGACUGCAACCAACGUAAAUCAAUAGGCGUUGAAGAGAUUAAACUGACUUUGUUUUGGCUGUUUUUUUAGUUCUGUAUGUAUUUUAGCAAUCUCAUCUCACCUAACUGAGAUGUGUUUCAAAUAUAUUCCUUUUAUGGAAAAGGACUCUGAAAAACCCUAAAGUAUUCUAGGGAGAAACUGUCUUCCAUUUCAGUUUUGAAUCAGUAUUGUUACACUCAAACCACCCUCUUUU
rnacentral:sRNA from 1 species